CAUCGCCAGCAGCACUCCUGCCCCGGGGCAGGCCCCUUCCCCCCCCCCCCCCCCCAGAGACUUCAGCCAAAGGUUCAGGUCUAGUCAUUCUGCCCUUUUGUGUCCUUAGGGCAAAAUCAAGGCUGGGCACAAAGACGUCACCGUAAGAAUUCUUGUUACCAAGAAUGCUCUUCCUCAUGGCCCCAUAUAGGAGCCAACUCAGUGCUCCUAGAGAAAUUGUAGUUCCUCCAGGAUAGAGAACUGGGCAGCCAUGUAAAAUGACUCAGCAGAAGAUCGUUUAUUGACAUGGAAUAUUUGCCACUCCGUCCCGUGUGCGGGUAGACGAUGAGCGCACGGUGGGGUUCUGCGUGUCUGUGCAGGCGAGCGCUGAAAGAAGACAGCACGGGACGGUAACCACAGUGGUUUUGGGGAGUCCAGGCAGCUGGCCUCUGGCCUGGGGGUGUCAGCAAGACCCCUGGUGUCACCACGAGUGCAGGUAUUGAACGCAGGAACCCUCCCCCCAGGGGCCCAUCAGUGCCCGGUGGCUGGAGAAGAGAGCAGGGGUGGGCGUGAGAUGACCUAAACAGGCCUGGCAGGAGGGCCAGGGGAAUGGCCACCAAGAGCAGGGUGGAGAGACCACCGUGCCUCACUCCCUCCAAGGCUGGCAUCCGGUAUGGCAGGGCCACAGGUUAAGAAGCUGGAAGACCCCCCCACCACCACCAGCUGGUGAAGAUCUGCUGCCCCGAUGAAUCCUCCUCCCUGAGGCCCCCAGACUCCCCACACGGCUGAGGGGCUCCCACCCUGCUCGGGAGUCGUCCCUAGGUGGCCCCAACAGCCCUCCCCUGUGCCCUACAAGUGCCCCCCGGGACUCUGCUGCAAACCAGGCAGCUUGGCAGGGCCAGGGGCGUCCCCUACACUGAGAAGACCCUGGCUCAACCUCCCUGGACAGCCAUCAGGUCUUGUCCAUGGGGAGCAUCGGGGGCUUGGGACAGAAACUUGUUCUCAAGUGGAGCAAAGCGAAGCAGGUGAUUUUGCCACGGUCCUGGGUUUUUUUCCUGCUCAUGUUGGCACAGGAGCUCAGCAGAGUGGGGACCUGGGGAGAGGCUCUUGUUAAGGCCCCUCUAGGACCGUCACCUGGAUUACAGGAAGAGCCGCCAGCGCACAGCUCAUGCGGGGCUGAUGAUUACAGAGCCCUCGCCGCACGCCAUGUUCUCUCGGCCAUCUGGGCCUCUCCGCAGCAGGACAAAGCUCAGAGGUUUCUCUGAGGCUCAGAGCUGGGACUUAGGGCCGCCGCAGAGGAGUGGCGGACGUCAUUCGGUCCACAGUAGCACCGGAGUGGGGCCAGGAACACAUUUGCCUCGCUGAUACCUGCCAGCGUCUGUGGGUUGAGGCUGCUUCCUGGGGGUGCGCGGCCCACGCCGCAGACCGUCUGGGCUGGGAGCCCCUGGGUAAUGGGAUAUGCAGAUGCGUGCGCCUUUGCCAGGCAGAAUGGCAGGACUCUUCUCCAGGCGAGGCAAUUUACAGCAAAAUAUGCUGUAAAUAUUUGUUCAGCCCAGGAAAAUGACUUUAAUUGCAUAAUUAAACUCGUUGUAGAUGCUGCUUCCGGACAAAACGAUGGGGGAGAAGAACUGAGCCCACAGCUGUCCCUCCGAGCUUCCUGACUGGAGGGACAGGCUGCUCUUCACAGGCUGCGCUGGGGCCUGUCUUUCCACGGAGCAACGGCAACUUUGAGAACAGACAGGGAGGGCGAAGGAAAAAGCAAGGGGUGUUGAAGUGUGGAGGGAGCAGAAGAGGUCACCUACUCAGAGGACCAGUGGCGGGUGUGGGGGGCAUCCAGACCCUCAGGCAGGAUUUAGCACGGUUUCCAAAUGUCCCAUGCACGUCCCACCUUCCACAGACAGGGGCCACUUGAGCAGGUGAUGAACCCAUGUGAGGGGGAGAGGAGGGGUAGGCUGAGAGACGCCUGCUUUUAUCUAUUUAUUUAGACAUUUGCUUUAAAAAAACCAACACCCAGCACCCCCCACCAACAUAGCCUCCCGAGUACAAUCCUAAGUGAAGAAGCUGGCCACAGAGGACACAGGUGCCAUGUGCCCUGUUCAUGGGAAAUGUCCCCAGCUGGGACCGAAGGCAGGUCAGAGAUUGCCAGGGGCUGGGGAGAAACUGGGAGGGAGAAAGAGAUGCUAACGGGGACA
rnacentral:lncRNA from 1 species